AAGCCUGACUCCACGAUGCCCGUGAAUUCAGAGAAUAUGGCCUCUUGUUUCUGGUCGAAUUAGUUCCCUGUGUCUGCUCCUCCCCUGUGACUGCUUAGAUUUGGGAAUUUGAAGAACCUCAGUGUCAAUCGAGAGCACUUUAGAGCAGGAAGCACCCGCCCAAGAGGACAGUCAGACACCCAGUCCCAGCCCCAUGGACGCACUUCCAGGCCUUGCUGUGAGCUGGAUAAGACACCCACCCUUCCCUGGAUUACCUUUUUCUCCCUCCACACCAGGAGGUAACUUUGUGACUACACAAGGGUAGAGUCAAAUUCAAGAGGCUGAGACCCUGGUGGCUGAAGGAGGACAGGUCACACUGCACAGCUCUCAGUGAUGAUGGUGCAACACUUUCCCAUGAGGCUUUCCAGCCAUGGUACCCAGAAGCCCUCAGAUGGCCUCAUCAUUGACGUGGCAGUGGAAACACGGAAGCAAGGUUCUCUCAAUUCAAAUUUCCCUUAACUCAUAUAAAACAAUGCCGGAAAAAUCCCUGGACACCAGCGUGCCUCCUCUCCAAGGAGACUUGAGUGGACAAAGACAGGGAUUCAGAAAGACCCGGCCACCUCCUGUGGAUGCACAGAUGAUGACUUAUGUCUGGAGCCCAGGCAGGGGUGCAAAUUCUCUUCCUGCGGAAGCAGACCGCCCAUCUCUCCAGGCCAGCUCUGUGACUGAAGUGCUGAGUGCCCUCGAGCACAUCUCCGAGCCUGGCUUUCCUCGUCUCGAAUCCACCUCACAGGCUGUACGGUCGCAGUCCGACUGAAAUUCUGUGAAAGCUGUAAUGUGCCGUAUAAAUGAAAAAUUACUUACUAGAGCCCUUGAGGCAAAGAAAAGGUGUCAGGACCUUCCGGUGUAGGAAAUGACCCUCUGGCCAUUCGCAGGAGAGCUCAGGGUCUAGGGCCUGGGUGGACAAGCCAGCGGGAGGGGGCAGGAAGGUGUGAUACUGCAACGGGUGCAGGCUUGCUCCGGGUUUGCCUCUGGUCUGCAGGGUGGGCGGCUGGGUGGGCUGCUGGGACUUCUCUUUCCACAUCACGUGACUCAUCAAGUGGGAAAUGGGCAGAGUCCCUGUCUUCAUUUAUCCAAAGCCUUUGACUCUUUCCCCUGGACACGGGAUCACGUUUAGAUGCCGUAAGUGGAGACCGUCUGGCUUAACUUAGUCCUUUUCUGGCCUGAUCACUUUGUUGGCAGAGGGCCUGCUGUUGAUCGUUCACAAUCCUCCCACUCAGGGCAGCUGAAAUCCCUGGAUUCCCUCAGGGCCGAGAAAGUGGUGGGACAAAGACAGAGAGACAGACAUUGAGGCUGCAAAAUUCUGAUGAGUCUGGAAUGAGUGGAUCUCUCUUCACUGCUGGGGGAGGUGGCUGUGACAGUGAGGUCAUAUGCAUACUAGCGAAUGUGGAAAUGAGGUGCUGUCGACGUGCGCCCGUCACAGCUGUGAUUCCUGAAGACAGUGGCCGGAGAAUCACUGGUCCUGUCGUCUGCUCCCCACUGUUAGGCUGAGAAAAGGAGGAAGAGCCAGUAACACCGAGAAGACCACAGCCACGGCUGAAGCUGUUUCCUGGUGCCCUGUUUGUCUGUGUUUUUUCAUGACUUUGCCAUCAUUUUGG